UACGAAGGGGGCUAGCGUUGCUCGGAAUCACUGGGCGUAAAGCGCGCGUAGGCGGAUUGCUAAGUCAGGGGUGAAAUCCUGGAGCUCAACUCCAGAACUGCCUUUGAUACUGGCGAUCUUGAGUCCGGGAGAGGUGAGUGGAACUGCGAGUGUAGAGGUGAAAUUCGUAGAUAUUCGCAAGAACACCAGUGGCGAAGGCGGCUUCCUGGCCUGUUCUUGACGCUGAGGCGCGAAAGCUAGGGGAGCCAAACGGGAUU
rnacentral:rRNA from 1 species